rnacentral:misc_RNA from 1 species
GAUGAAGAACGCAGCGAAAUGCGAUAAGUAAUGUGAAUUGCAGAAUUCAGUGAAUCAUCGAAUCUUUGAACGCACAUUGCGCCCCUUGGUAUUCCGAGGGGCAUGCCUGUUCGAGCGUCAUUAUAACCCCUCAAGCUCAGCUUGGUGUUGGGGCCUGCUGCACUGGCAGCCCUUAAAAUCAGUGGCGGCGCCAUCUGGCUCUAAGCGUAGUAAUUCUUCUCGCUAUGGAGUCCUGGUGGAUGCUUGCCAUCAACCCUCAAUUUUUCUAUGGUUGACCUCGGAUCAGGUAGGGAUACCCGCUGAACUUAAGCAUAUCAAUAGCGAGGA